GAUCAUUACCAAACGAUUCUUUGGAUUCAGUUAGUAGCUUUUYGAUGCGGYGCAAGCCAAAUCGAGAAGUAGUUGGUUGACCGUAAUUAGGAGAAAUCCUUCCAGCUGCACUGAUUGGAUUCAGAGUUUAAUCAACCCCCUGUGAACUAUAAACCCGUACUGUUAUUGUCUUUUGGGUGGUACUGAAGCUGUUUACAGUCGAUGUGCUGCCCAGAAGCGAUAGCGCUUUAUUGAACUACUAAACGAAUUAUAUCUAUACGCAAAAUCUCUUUAUUAUUUAAUAAUAAUAAUUGACAACUUUUAACAGUGGAUCUCUAGGCUCGUGGAUCGAUGAAGAGCGCAGCAAAAUGCGAUACGUAAUGUGAAUUGCAGAAUUCAGUGAAUCAUCGAAUCCUUGAACGCAAAUUGCGGUGUUGGGUAUUCCCGGCACCAUGCUUGGUUGAGUGUCACUUAAUCUAACAAAAUUCAAUUUAUUUUGGGUAUUGUUACAGAUGAGGUUACGAGGCGUCUAUUUAAUAGAACUUCGAACCUUUAAUGACUAGCAAGACGCAUGACUUUUGAAGUUCAUUGCAGCUACUURUGUGGCAAUAUUGUUUCGACAAUUUAAAGCGCAUGUUGGCUCAGUGGAUGUUAAUUCUUAAAUYAUUGCUGUUCUUACAAAUCUGAMUCUAUAUGUCUYCGGACUUAGAAUUUUGACCUCAGCUCAAGC
rnacentral:rRNA from 1 species